rnacentral:tRNA from 1 species
ACCCAGCUGGCUCAGUCAGUGGAGCAUGUGACUCUUGAUCUCAGGGUUGUGAGUUCAAGCCCCAAGUUGGGUG